rfam:Candidate division Zixibacteria bacterium SM23_73_3 WORSMTZ_1386, whole genome shotgun sequence.
GGGCCCAUAGCUCAGUUGGUUAGAGCAACUGACUCAUAAUCAGUGGGUCGCAGGUUCGAGUCCUGCUGGGCCCA